rnacentral:Y_RNA from 1 species
UGAUGGUCCGAUGGUAGUGGGUUAUCAGAACUUAUUAACAUCAGUGUCACUAAAGUUGGUAUUCAAACCCCCACUGCUAAAUUUUUUGAUUGGCUUUUA